UCCCGCGCUGUUUUGUGAAUGACUGCAGGUGGCCAGACAGGAUUCCUAGGCUGUUAUCAGCACCCCGGCGAGGAGAAUUUAGGGGUCUGCAAGAGGUCUUCUCACCGGCAAACUGGUUAUUAGCAUUGCUUGAAUUAAUUUGGCAACGGGCUAAAUGCCAGCAGCAGGAGAGAGAUGUUAGGGCAUUCUGCUCCUCCGGGGAGAGAGGAAUUAUUGAAGUCACUGGGGCAGGUCUGUGUGCCCCGCCGCGCGGGGGAGCGCAUGGAAAGGAUCCGAGUGGGGCAUCCUGCAAGGGGGGCAGCCCGCGGUGGCUGUUCUCAGGGCGGUGGCCCACACUGCAGACGCCCUGUUAUUGUUCACUAGACUACGGCUCACCUCUGCGGGCUCCUCCCUAAAGACACUGGGAUGGAAACCACCUUAAGCCCUUUCUGGAAAAAAAGUGGAUGAGUUUCAUGGAACUCCUGGAAAUGUCACACACCCAGGCCUGGCCCUGCCCGCGAGCCUUGUGUUCCUCUAAGACCAGCCAGCUCAGAACAACAGAAUAGUCGGAAGGCCAGCAUGAAAUAUCAGAGAGAGCAGAGGUUGUGGACACUUAGCCCUCUGGGAACAGGCACCGCUCUGCCCCACCCCAACAGGAAUGUCGGAACAGUACCUGACACACACCACCAUCAGGAUAGGUAGAGCACAGGACCCACGGCAGCCACCUCCACCCUCACCUCCCAGCUCCCUGACAUCUGUUGAGCACUUCUCAACUUGAAACCUCGAUUCUUCCCUUUUAAUAGGAGACUGAGUCAAGUAUAA